AUCCUGAUGAAGACAUCCACGGUAGAGUUUUGUUCUGGAAUAAACUGGCCACAUCGAUUUCCCCGCAUGCAACAACUACAGUAUAAGGAUAUUGGAGGACGGUUUCAGACUCAAUUCCCCUAACGCAAAAGUCGGUCAUAUGGAAAAGCGACAAGAAGUGGAUUUGAUUAAAUUCUACACUGACAAUAUCUGUGACAUAGGCUGAUUCAAGCGUAUAACUAAGUUACCUGUGAAAAGGGAAAUACCCUAAUUCUAUAAAUAGAACACUAAAGAGUUCCUCGAUCGCAGAAAAAAGCGGAUGGCGAUAUCGCCGAGGGUAAUAUAUAGGGAUUCGGGACGUUUGUAUUGUUAUGAACGUGGCGGAUGGCGGUAUGCGACGGUGGCGAACUUAACGAGGGAAUUAUAUAGAAGGGAACUCCGUUCUAGGGGUGUAGAUUCGGGUGGCGAUAGGUCGAGGGUACACUGUAGCUAUUUGUAGAUAUGUUAUGGUGAAAUAGAUAAUAACUGCAAAUGAUAUUGUAUUUUCAGAGGCCAUGUAGUUAGGGUGUAAAUAUUCUACAUGCGGUCACAUGGUAUGAUCGUAAGAAUCGGAACAAUUUGGGGUUAGUUCGGUUUAUGUCCUUUCAAUAGCUGUAUGCUUGUGUCAUAUGGGAAGCGCCAUUACAAAGAUACGCGAACAUGAACAUACCUCAGCCACCCAAUACACAGACACUAUACGCAAAAAUCUGUGUAUUUGUAUGUUAUUGCUUAUAACAGAAUGAAAUUUGGAGAGAUGUUAGAUAUGUAAUUACAUAUACCAAACAGUUCCACGUUUGAAGAUUUGCUGACCCACAUCAAAACAAUUCCAGAUUUGCAACCAAGAAACCCAUAGGAAGGACGACCAAACUGUUGAAAAUGAUCUUUUGAUGGCGUUAUGGUUAAUAGUUUCACUUUAUGGUAUGGUCUAUAACAGAUUGGAUGUAUGCGAGUAAAUAUUGUCUCGACACAUUAGAAGAAUUUUGGUGGACUUUAUUCCCAACAUUUGUUGAGUAAAUUCAUUCCUGGCCAAGUGAGAACAAACAAAUUGUGCAUGAGUGAUUCAGACAGAAGAGAUGUUGUUUUUCUCAUGUUAUUUUUCGUUGUGAGAACAUGGUUAAAAUCUAUGUGGACCCUCUGAUUUACCUUAAGAUUAGACAUAUCGUUGUCGUUGAUGUCUUUCGAUACCCUAUCAAUUUUGAAAACCUCUGCAGAAGGUUGAUCAGGUUCAACAAACUGUUUUGCUAUUGAAUGCCUUUGUAGCUAUCAAAGAUCGUUACAAGAAUGGAGUUGAUAGAAAUGAGCGGUAAGUCAUCGCAAUUACUUGCAUAUCUCACAUUUGCAUCAUUCAGGUACAAAUACAAAAAUAACUGAUACCAAUCGAACUGGUUGCGAGACACAGAUAAUACUUGAUUGUAAAAGGUAUGUCGCAGGCAUGACACAACGGAGGAUCUUCCUUUCGUAAAAUAUAACUGAGAGCUAUAUAUAUAUAUGGCCAAUGGUUUAUGUAUUCUUAAUGGUGAAUUAACAAUAUAAAUGUCAUUACGGCCAUAAAAUGGUGAGUAAAACUAUAACUAAAAUGGGGGAAAUGACAAAACAUCAAACAUACGAAACAUGUAAAAAUGUGAAUAUAUAUUGGUACCUUCACGUUCAGUUUAUGAUGAUUUUACUCACAGAAGAAUCCAUUAAAAUAUAUCCAGUUCAAAUUUUUAACAGUCAUCAAUGCCAAUGUUUUACCCCAUCUUUGCUGUUAGAUUUCAAAUGUAGAUUUUUCUCCAAUCUCAUCAAUUUUGGAGUAUACCAUUAACAUUGUGUAAGGAAAAUUGGUUUUCUGUCGGAGUUAUCUCCCUUUUACAUACAAUUGUUAAGCGCUGUUUUAUCUCAUUGAUUAUUGGAUGAUUACUAAUUAAUGGUUGGAUUGUAUAGAUUGAAAAUGAUUCCUAAAUAUACCUUGAUUGAUAAGAAAGAUAAUAUACCAUGUAAAUGUGUUUGUAUAUAAAGAUGAUACAAGGUUUUAGAGCGAAAUGUGCAAUAUGCAAAUGAAUGGUACCACUGGCUUGCCGAAUAGCCUGGCACAUAAAUAGCCAGCUACAAACUGUGAUCGGGGGGAGAAUAUGCCGCUGAAAAGUGGGCGUGAUUCUAAUUGAUUUGUAUGCGUAUGCAAUCUGAUUUUUCCCGUUUUCCCCAGAUGAUUUCUCUGAGUACUGGUGUACUACAAAUAUAUUUUGCUCCAUCCAAGAGGGUAAACUGGUAUCCGAUCUGUUUCUUUUAUAAUUACAUCGAUGGUUUUGUGCUUUAUUUAUUCAUUUAAAAUGUUUUUUUUAAAGGAGUUAUGUAUUGAUAAUAAUUAAAAUGUUGAUUCCAUAUUACUUUCCAAUUAUUGAAUGACGUUUUUAUCUGUAAAUAUUGAAUAAAAUUUUAUGAAACUUAAAAAAGAUAAUAAUUACAAUGUUGAUUCCAUAUUACUUUCCAAUUAUUGAAUGACGUUUUUAUCUGUAAAUAUUGAAUAAAAUUUUAUGAAACUUAAAAAGAAACUGACAGGUUUCAAACCCCGGUAGCUACGAAGGCUGAGUAAGUCUUUGUGGAGAGACUGAGAAGUCUCUCAUGUAACGAUUGGUGGUCGCUGAAUAAGUGCCCAUUAGUCGUGAGGUAGUGUGUUGUUGCGCUGUACGAGGCAGAUGCACAAGGUUACAGUGCCGGGAGCACUUGUAUUGCUGUAGAAAGCUGGUGCGCAAGUUUAACCACUACCAGGUUCCAGUGCCGGGAGCAAUUGCAUUGCUGUUGCGCAGGGCUGGAUAGGCCAGUGCGCAAGGUAGACACUGGGAGCACUUGCAUUACUACUGCGCUUCAUAAGCUGGUGCGCAGGUAGCCGGUGCGCUGUGCAAAUGCCGGAGCACUUGUAAUAGGCGUGAUUGAUUGAUCAUUGCCGGCGCGCACGACAGCCACGGCGCGUACCAGUGCACUGAGAGAGUACAUACAUUAGGCGUUUGCGAGCGUCAGUGCCUGCUAUAGUUAUAUUUGUAUGGUAGUUUUAAAGGUCCGUGGCAAGCAGCACGACCGUUUCACUUGUUCUUGUAUGUCAUAUAUAGAUAAAUCAUUUGUAAUUAUUGCCGAUUAUAUUCCGAUUGAGAGUAGAUUAGUCAAGUGCAUUUAAAGCACAGCUUAUCCCAGGAGACACUUGGGACGGACCAGGUGCACGUUACAAUUGUUAUGUAAUUAAUAUUCAAGCUUCAAUUUGAUAAACCAUUAAUAAAUGACAUUUACAACACA